rnacentral:rRNA from 1 species
UGGGGAAUUUUGGACAAUGGGCGCAAGCCUGAUCCAGCAAUGCCGCGUGCAGGAAGAAGGCCUUCGGGUUGUAAACUGCUUUUGUCAGGGAAGAAAUCCUGUGGGUUAAUACCUCGUGGGGAUGACGGUACCUGAAGAAUAAGCACCGGCUAACUACGUGCCAGCAGCCGCGGUAAUACGUAGGGUGCGAGCGUUAAUCGGAAUUACUGGGCGUAAAGCGUGCGCAGGCGGUUGUGCAAGACAGGUGUGAAAUCCCCGGGCUUAACCUGGGAACUGCACUUGUGACUGCACGGCUAGAGUACGGUAGAGGGGGAUGGAAUUCCGCGUGUAGCAGUGAAAUGCGUAGAUAUGCGGAGGAACACCGAUGGCGAAGGCAAUCCCCUGGACCUGUACUGACGCUCAUGCACGAAAGCGUGGGGAGCAAACAGGAUUAGAUACCCUGGUAGUCCACGCCCUAAACGAUGUCAACUGGUUGUUGGACGGCUUGCUGUUCAGUAACGAAGCUAACGCGUGAAGUUGACCGCCUGGGGAGUACGGCCGCAAGGUUG